rnacentral:rRNA from 1 species
GAUAAUAUAUUGAACCGCAUGGUUCAAUAGUGAAAGACGGUUUUGCUGUCACUUAUAGAUGGAUCCGCGCCGCAUUAGCUAGUUGGUAAGGUAACGGCUUACCAAGGCAACGAUGCGUGCCGACCUGAGAGGGUGAUCGGCCACACUGGAACUGAGACACGGUCCAGACUCCUACGGGAGGAGCAGUAGGGAAUCUUCCGCAAUGGGCGAAAGCUGACGGAGCAACGCCGCGUGAGUGAUGAAGGUCUUCGGAUCGUAAAACUCUGUUAUUAGGGAAGAACAAAUGUGUAAGUAACUAUGCACGUCUUGACGGUACCUAAUCAGAAAGCACGGCUAACUACGUGCCAGCAGCCGCGGUAAUAGUAGGUGGCAAGCGUUAUCCGGAAUUAUUGGGCGUAAAGCGCGCGUAGGCGUUUUUUAAGUCUGAUGUGAAAGCCCACGGCUCAACCGUGGAGGGUCAUUGGAAACUGGAAAACUUGAGUGCAGAAGAGGAAAGUGGAAUUCCAUGUGUAGCGGUGAAAUGCGCAGAGAUAGGAGGAACACCAGUGGCGAAGGCGACUUUCUGGUUGUAACUGACGCUGAUGUGCGAAAGCGUGGGGAUCAAACAGGAUUAGAUACCCUGGUAGUCCACGCCGUAAACGAUGAGUGCUAAGUGUUAGGGGUUUCCGCCCCUUAGUGCUGCAGCUAACGCAUUAAGCACUCCGCCUGGGGAGUACACCGCAAGGUUGAAACUCAAAGGAAUUGACGGGGACCCGCACAAGCGGUGGAGCAUGUGGUUUAAUUCGAGCAACGCGAAGAACCUUACCAAAUCUUGACAUCCUCUGACCCCUCUAGAGAUAGAGUUUUCCCCUUCGGGGGCAGAGUGACAGGUGGUGCAUGGUUGUCGUCGCUCGUGUCGUGAGAUGUUGGGUUAAGUCCCGCAACGAGCGCAACCCUUAAGCUUAGUUGCCAUCAUUAAGUUGGGCACUCUAAGUUGAUGCC